rnacentral:lncRNA from 1 species
CUUUUUUUUUUUUGUAAAUUUUUAUUUUUGGCUGCCAAAAGUCACCAUAAGGAAGUGACAUCAAACUAACCACAGGAAGUAGAUGCAGCGUCUCUCUACUGAAGCACUACUUUAUAAACUCACACAGUUAUGAGCAUGAGAACAAAAGAUAGAAGAAGGAGAGAGAGAGACAGAGAAUCACGAUGGUUGAGUUCAAAUGGAUUCAAAUGUCUUUAUUUCUGAUAGCGCUGCUUCACUUUACAGCAGCAGCUGAAAAACUCCUCUCUGUCAGAGUUGGAGGUGACGUCACUUUGCCUUGUGAUAAUGUGAUUGAUGGUCAGCAAAGAUGUGAAUAUACUACAUGGCUGUUCAGUGCUUCAGGAAACACAGCAGCAGUAGCGCUGUUUGAACUUGGACAGAUCAAAAACACAAGCUCUAUAUCAGACAGACUGAAUGUUACAGCGAACUGUUCUCUGGUUAUAAAGAAGUUCACAGUCGAGGAUGUUGGUCGUUACACCUGCAGACAGUUUAUAUCAGGACAACAACAAGGUCCAGGCUCUGUGGUUGAUCUGUCUGUUAAUACCAGUGAGUAUUUACAUCAUAAAGUUACUUCAAACUGA